rnacentral:rRNA from 1 species
AUUGAACGCUGGCGGCAGGCCUAACACAUGCAAGUCGAACGAGUGGCGGACGGGUGAGUAAUGUCUGGGAAACUGCCUGAUGGAGGGGGAUAACUACUGGAAACGGUAGCUAAUACCGCAUACCAUCAGAUGUGCCCAGAUGGGAUUAGCGAGUAGGUGGGGUAAUGGCUAACCUGGGCGACGAUCCCUAGCUGGUCGGAGAGGAGGACCAGCCACACGGGAACUGAGACACGGUCCAGACUCCUACGGGAGGCAGCAGUGGGGAAUAUUGGACAAUGGGCGAAAGCCUGAUCCAGCCAGGCCGCGUGUGUGAAGAAGGUCUUCGGAUUGUAAAGCACUUUAAGUUGGGAGGCGUUACCAACAGAAUAAGCACCGGCUAACUUCGUGCCAGCAGCCGCGGUAAUUC